CACGGACUCAAGCGUUGUUAAACAUAAGUUAAGUGAAACACGGACCUAAGCGUGUUUCACAUCAUGUUAUGCAAGUUAAGUGAAACACGGACCCAAGCGUGUUUUACUCCAUGUUAUGCAAGUUAGGUGACACACGGACCCAAUCGUGUUUCACAUCAUGUUAUACAAGUUAAGUGAAACACGAACCCAAGCGUGUUU